UUUGAUCUCAAGACAGAGGUCCCACUCAAACUUUCUUGCCUUCCUUCCUUCAUCCAUCAUACUCUCUGGGGAAUAUCGACCCAACUCUAGAAAUCACCGAACAUACUCUAACACUGUCAUAUCACCUUGUACCAGGUGUGCAAAUUCCAUCUCCUUCAGAUGCUGAAGAUGUUCUAGGAGAUACUCUGCAUUGAAGACCAUAUGGAACUGUUCCUAAGCGAUUAGAAUGGGCAGGGUGGCUUGCUUGAGCUGCCACCACCGACCUGCCGCUCCCACGAACAUAUAGGUGACAAAUACCACCUUCUGCUCAGGAACUUUCCCAAGAGUCGCGAAG
rnacentral:lncRNA from 1 species